AGUCAACCUACCAUAAGUGGUGUAACUCAAAACAGACAAUGUAGAUUUGAGUCUGGGCUCCUGUGACCCAUUUUAAGAAUUGUACUGUAUAAUAAUGAAUGAUGUGUAACACCACAAACCAUAGGGGGGUCCAGACCCACAGUCUGGGAACCACUGCUCUAAAGAGUGGAAACCAUAGGGGGGUCCAGACCCACAGUCUGGGAACCACUGCUCUAAAGAGUGGAAACCAUAGGGGGGUCCAGACCCACAGUCUGAGUGGAAAUGCAUGGAUAAUGCUGGAACCAGGGAAGGAACCAGGCUGUCCAAACACGCAGAAACCAGGGAAAGAACCAGGCUGUCCAAACACACAUGGACAAUGCUGGAACCAGGGAAAGAACCAGGCUGUCCAAACACGCAUGGACAAUGCUGGAACCAGGGAAGGAACCAGGCUGUCCAAACACGCAUGGACAAUGCUGGAACCAGGGAAGGAACCAGGCUGUCCAACAUGAGUUCACAGCAGUAAGCGGUCUUAUUUCAGUCAUUCAAGGAGUGGGGUGAACACAUUGAUCAUCUAUUGUCAUUGGAUUGG
ensembl:lncRNA